GACGAACGCUGGCGGCGUGCCUAAUACAUGCAAGUAGAACGCUGAAGAGAGGAGCUUACUCUUCUUGGAUGAGUUGCGAACGGGUGAGUAACGCGUAGGUAACCUGCCUUGUAGCGGGGGAUAACUAUUGGAAACGAUAGCUAAUACCGCAUAACAAUGGAUGACACAUGUCAUUUAUUUGAAAGGGGCAAUUGCUCCACUACAAGAUGGACCUGCGUUGUAUUAGCUAGUAGGUGAGGUAAUGGCUCACCUAGGCGACGAUACAUAGCCGACCUGAGAGGGUGAUCGGCCACACUGGGACUGAGACACGGCCCAGACUCCUACGGGAGGCAGCAGUAGGGAAUCUUCGGCAAUGGGGGCAACCCUGACCGAGCAACGCCGCGUGAGUGAAGAAGGUUUUCGGAUCGUAAAGCUCUGUUGUAAGUCAAGAACGGGUGUGAGAGUGGAAAGUUCGCACUGUGACGGUAGCUUACCAGAAAGGGACGGCUAACUACGUG
rnacentral:rRNA from 1 species